rnacentral:rRNA from 1 species
GACGAACGCUGGCGGCGUGCUUAACACAUGCAAGUCGAGCGGUAAGGCCCCUUCGGGGGUACACGCGCGGCGAACGGGUGAGUAACACGUGAGUAAUCUGCCCUUCACUUCGGGAUAACCGCCGGAAACGGCGGCUAAUAACGAAUACGACCAGCCCCCGCAUGGGAUGCUGGGGGAAAGUUUUGUCGGUGGAGUAUGUGCUCGCGGCCCAUCAGCUUGUUGGUGGGGUAACGGCCUACCAAGGCUUCGACGGGUAGCCGGCCUGAGAGGGUGACCGGCCACACUGGGACUGAGACACGGCCCAGACUCCUACGGGAGGCAGCAGUGGGGAAUAUUGGACAAUGGGCGAAAGCCUGAUCCAGCAACGCCGCGUGAGGGAUGACGGCCUUCGGGUUGUAAACCUCUUUCAGUACCGACGAAGCGCUCCUAGGAGUGGUGACGGUAGGUACAGAAGAAGGACCGGCCAACUACGUGCCAGCAGCCGCCGUAAGAC